CAAUUAUACGAGGCGUGGCUAUUAAAUAACGAGACUACUCGCUUAGAGGGCACCCUAGAUGGGUAGUGAAAAAAAGGAGUAAUGCGAGUAAUAGAAUAAUUUUUAUAAUAAAACACUUUUUCGUAGCCAGUCUCGUUAUUUAAUAGCCACAUCCCGUAUAUGU